AUUGAACGCUGGCGGCAUGCCUAACACAUGCAAGUCGAACGGUAACAGGAAUCAGCUUGCUGCUUCGCUUACGAGUGGCGGACGUGUGAGGAAUGUCUGGGAAACUGCCUGAUGGAGGGGGAUAACUACUGGAAACGUUAGCUAAUACCGCAUAACGUCGCACGACCAAGGAGGGGGACCUUAGGGCCUCUUGCCAUCGGAUGUGCCCAGGUGGGAGUAGCUAGUAGGUGGGGUAACGGCUCACCUAGGCGCCGAUCCCUAGCUGGUCUGAGAGGAUGACCAGCGACACUGGAACUGAGACACGGUCCAGACUCCUACGGGAGGCAGCAGUGGGGAAUAUUGCACAAUGGGCGCAAGCCUGAUGCAGCGAUGCCGCGUGUAUGAAGAAGGGCCUCGGGUUGUAAAGUACUUUCAGCGGGGAGGAAGGGAGUAAAGUUAAUACCUGUGCUCAUUGACGUUACCCGCAGAAGAAGCACCGGCUAACUCCGUG
rnacentral:rRNA from 1 species